rnacentral:rRNA from 1 species
AACACGUUAUCCAACCUAUCCGGGAACUCCGGAUAUAGCCUUUCGAAAGAAAGAUUAAUCCCGGAUAGUAUGGUGAUUCCGCAUGGUUUUUCCAUUAAAGGAUUCCGGUUACCGAUGGGGAUGCAUUUCAUUAGGCAGUUGGUGGGGUAACGGCCCACCAAACCUACGAUGGAUAGGGAUUCUGAGAGGAAGGUCCCCCACAUUGGAACUGAGACACGGUCCAAACUCCUACUGGAGGUAGCAAUGAUGAAUAUUGGUCAAUGGGCGGAAGCCUGAACCAGCCAAGGAGCGAGAAGGAUGACUGCCCUAUGGGUUGUAAACUUCUUUUAUAAAGUAAUAAUUGUGGGUACGCGUACCCGUUUGCAUGUACCUUAUGAAUAAAGAUCGGCUAACUCCGUGCCAGCAGCCGCGGUAAUA